AUUGCCUCUUGGCUUUUUGGCUAAGAUCAAGUGUAGUAUCUGUCCUUAACAAUUAAAUAUCUCUUCUCAGCUUAUCGUAAGAAUAGGAAGGAUACUCAAGAAGGAUACAGCAAGGAGACACGUUUU
rnacentral:snRNA from 1 species